rnacentral:tRNA from 1 species
AGUCGCGUAGCUCAGUUGGUUAGAGUGUCUCCUUGACAUGGAGGAAGUCGGUGAUUCGAAUUCACUCGCGACUA